CUACGUGCCAGCAGCCGCGGUAAUACGGAGGGUGCGAGCGUUAAUCGGAAUAACUGGGCGUAAAGGGCACGCAGGCGGUGACUUAAGUGAGGUGUGAAAGCCCCGGGCUUAACCUGGGAAUUGCAUUUCAUACUGGGUCGCUAGAGUACUUUAGGGAGGGGUAGAAUUCCACGUGUAGCGGUGAAAUGCGUAGAGAUGUGGAGGAAUACCGAAGGCGAAGGCAGCCCCUUGGGAAUGUACUGACGCUCAUGUGCGAAAGCGUGGGGAGCAAACAGGAUUAGAUACCCUGGUAGUCCACGCUGUAAACGAUGUCGAUUUGGGGGUUGAACUUUAAGUUUGGCACCCGUAGCUAACGUGAUAAAUCGACCGCCUGGGGAGUACGGCCGCAAGGUUAAAACUCAAAUGAAUUGACGGGGGCCCGCACAAGCGGUGGAGCAUGUGGUUUAAUUCGGUGCAACGCGAAGAACCUUACCUACUCUUGACAUCCAGAGAACAUUC
rnacentral:rRNA from 1 species